GUUACAGGCGUGAACCAUCGCGCCCAGCCCUGGUCAGAUCUUAAUAAUCUGAGAUUCAGCCUUUUAAAAAAAUUAUUGGUUAUAUUACCCAGUCUUCUUUUUCUCAUUUUUUCUGAGGACUUAAUUAGGGCACCUUUUCGAUAUUACUGCAAAGUCGACUAGAACAUUCAAAAGUACACAUACUGUACAUGCUCCCUUGAUUUCUUCCUGAUUUUCAGUAGGAAUAUAAGGUCCUAGAGUGGCCCAUUCACAUAAUGAGGGCUCAGUGAAUGUGAGAAUGAUGAUAAGGAGGAGUACAAGGAGGCAACAGUGACCCAUCAUUGACUCUUUCUCCUUGUGCCUGCAGCAAGUGAUGAAAUGGAUCUCUGGUUAGGAAUACAGGGUGCUUAUGGGCAGGAGUUUAAGCUAGAGAUUUAAUAUACUUGGCUUUAAGAAAGAAAGAUAAGUAGGAGGAAGACAUGAGGGCUUAAAGUUUUUGAAAUGUAGUUUAGAAUGGAUAAUAGCUUCACAACAUGUUAACAACCACUGGCAUUAGCAUUUCAUUUUAAAACACGUACACAUACUUCAUUAAGAAACUCUGCAGUUUUAUAAUUAAAGAUGUUAUUACAGAUAAAACACUCAUUACUUUUAUUUGUAGUUUUUCUCCUCAUGGUCACAUUCAAACAUAGCUUCAUUUUCUAAACAUUUUACGUAAAAAAUUGAUACGUAAUACUAUGCAUAUUUAUGGAAGGUAUAUGUGGUAUUUUGAUAUAUGCACACAAUGCGUAAUGAUCAAAUUAGAGUAUUUAGGAUAUCUGUUACUCAAAAUGUAUCAUUUCCUGUGUUGGGAACAUUUCAAAUCUCCUCUUCUAGCUAUUUGGAAAUAUACAAUAAAUUGUUGUUAAUUAUAGUCACUCUACUGUGCUACCAAACACUAGAACUUAUUCCUUCUAUCUAGCUAUAUGUUUGUACCCCUUAACCAAUCUCUCUUCAUCACCACCUACCUCCCUUUCCACUUUCUGGUAAGCAUCAUUCUAUGUUCCAUCUCCAUGAGAUCAAUUUUUUAGCUCCUGCAUAUGAGUGAGAACACGCGGUAUUUGUCUUUCUGUGCCUGGUUUAUUUCAGUUAACAUAAUGACCUUUGGUUCCAUCCAUGUUGCUGCCACGACAAAAUUUCACUCUUUUUAUGGUUGAAUAGUAUUCUGGUGUGUGCUAUAUCUUUAACCAUUCAUCUGAUGAUGGACAUUUAGGCUGAUUCCUUAUCUUGGCUAUUGGGCAUAGUUUAUCUGCAAUAAACAUGGGGGAACAGGUAUCUCUUUGAUACUGAUUUCCUUUCCUUUGGAUAAACAGCUAGUAGUGGGACUGCUGUAGCACAUAGUCAUUCUGCUUUAACAAACACAGCUUCUUUAUUGAUCCCCUCACCCAGUGACUGGAUGGAGAGUGAAGGUAAAAAGGAGGCGAUAUUGACUAUAGAAUGUUGUAUUAAAUGUCCAGGAGAUGGCAUGUAUAAUAUAACAUUUCUAUUCAAUAGUGUAGUAUAAUUUUCAAUUGGAAAAUUAUCAUCCCUAUUGUUUCCAAAAACUAUCCUACUUGGAAGUUAUAAUAGCAAUAAAUAAAAUUUGGAGAUCCACAAGCUAGAGCUUGAAUCUGAACUCUGGCAAUUAUUAGCACUGUGACUUCAGGCAAGUUAUUUAACUUCUAUGUACCUAAAUUUCUUAACCCUAAAAUGGGGAUAAGAUUUUGUAUAUAAUAUGUGCCAUUGUGAGAAUUAAAUGAGUUAAUUCAUGUAAACCACUUAGUACCAUGUAAACUACACUGAUUUCAACAUAUUAUAGGCUCAAUAAAUAUUGCCUAAUAAUUAUUCUUAGCUAUUAGCCAGCGGGGGUCCACAGAAUCUCUAAGAAGGCAAAGUAUUAUGUGCUAUUAAAAGGAAUGUAUCACUUUUUCUGCAAAGAGAAGAGGAUUUUCUUGUCUACGAAAAGAGAACUUUAAUUAAAACAGACCAAGAAAUACUGCUCUAAGCCUUACUCUUGUUAGUUCCAGAGUUAAGUGCCAUUCAUUCAACAGACACGUAUUAUCCCUGCUUCUUACUCUUGAGUCCCUUCCUGCCAUAUAUACGGUGCAGAGUUGUGGGGGUGUCAAGGAGGACAAACCAAGCACUGUGCAAGGAACUGGGGAUGCUGCAGUCAAAAAAGGACCAUGAAGAUUUCUAACUUUAGACGUUAGUACAACUCAAUAGCUUUUGAAUACUCAUGAAAUUUGGAAAAGAAAGCAAUCUAACAAUAUUUUUUGUUUUUUCAUAUUCUCCAGAGCCCCCAGCCCAGUGCUUGCUUAUAAGAGGCAACUCUCAAUAACACUUGGCCCUUCUUCCCUUCCUUUUCCUACAACUGUAUUGUCUCUUGGCUUCCGUGGUAUUAUUUCCUCCUGGGUCUCCACCUCCACGGGCCUGACCCUGCCUUUUUAACCUGCCACAGAAUCCUUUUUCCUUUCCCAUUAUUACUGAAAUAUUGGUGUUCCCUAGACUUCUGUUCUUACCCUUCCAUUUUUCCUUCUGGAUGAUCUCAUUACCUAUAACUUCAUCUACUACUCAAAUGCUGAUUACUCCCAAGCAUUUAUCUCUAGACCCUCAUCUUUCUUUUUGGCUCCUGACCCACAUUUUCUACAGCCUAAGGGGGGCUCUAUCCUAGAUUUUCCAGGCAGUCACUGCAAAUUCAGCAUGUCUAACAUCAAACUCAUCUUUCCUACCUAAACUCCUCCUCCUUCUCAUUUCCCUAUCUGGGUUAACUAUAUGAUUUUCUAUUAUUAUGCCUUACUUAAGAUACCAAGGAGCUACUUUUGACACCCAUGCAUGCCUUCCUCAUCUUCUCUUCUAAGUGUACAUUGUAAAUUUCUUCUCCUCAAUAUUUGCUGAAUCCACUUUAUUGUCUCCAGUGCUAGAGGAAAAUGCCUUAGAUUAGACCAGCAGUACAACACUAUGGAUAAGAGCACUGGCUGGGUAAUCCCCUGGCCUGGAUUCUAUCAAGGUUCUAUCACUAACUGCAUGACUUUGGGCAAAUUACUUAACAUCUUUGGGCCUUGAGGAUUAAACAAUCUAAGACAUACAAUGCUUUAACAGUAGUGCUUGGCAUGAAAGUAAACACCCAAAAAUAUUAGAUAAUUGUUUUAUUAUGAUUAUCAUGUUAAGUAUUAUCGGUAUACUUACCAUUGCAUUUAUUACUAGUCUGGACACAUAACCGAUAAAAAUAGAAAUCAUUUAAUUAAUAUAUGCUAUUGGAACUGGUAAAAAGAACCACAGUAGAAACUGAGGGUAUAUAGUUCCAGUAUGCAUUAAUUCAUUGUGGGCUUUUUUUUUUUUUUUUUUUUUUUUUUUGAGACAGGGUCUUGCUCUGUUGCCCAGGCUGGAAUGCAGUGGUGUGAUCUCGGCUCAUGGUAGCCUCUGCCUCCCAGGCUCAACCUCAGCCUCCCAAGUAGCUGCGACUACUUGGGACUAUAGGCGAGUGCCUCCCAGGAUCCUCCCACCUCAGCCUCCCAAGUAGCUGCGACUACAGGCGAGUGCCACCACACCUGGCUAAUUUUUGUAGAGAUGGGGUUUUGCUAUGUUGUCCAGGCUGUUCUUGAACUCCUGGACUCAAGCAAUCUGUCUGCCUCAGCCUCUGAAAGUGCUGGGAUUACAGGCAUGAGCCACCAUGCCUGGCCUCAACAACUCUUUCUAACCAUUCCGAACCCUGACAUUUGUUUUAUAAAAUGCAAAUUAAAAAUACUAACCCUAUGUACUUUGCUAAGUUUUGGUAACAUAAUGAGUUAAUAUGCAAGCUCUGUGGAAUAUGAAAGCACUCUGUCAAAAAAAGAAAAACGUUAUUAUUCUACUACUUCAUGUAUAUGUGAUUGGACCUUUAUGUUUAUGAUAUACCACUGAGGCAGGAAAAAUGCACAAGAGAUUAAGAGACGAUGAUUUCUGAAAGGAAUAACAUAAUCAUAUUGUAAAGGAAGGAUAUAAAGUGAAUGAAGUUUAGGAAAAAUGAGGUUCCUUUCUUGACCAGACUACAAGGAAAUGGAAAGCAAGUCAACAUAAAGUAACAGUUGCCUUCAAACCAGUGAAUCGAAUUUGGGGUAGUCCCAGAAUCCUACGGUAUUUAGCACAUUGUGUCAUAAUCUAUUUAGCAUAUAAUCUUCUAAAUAUAACAACACACUGGAGAAGGAAAAAAAAGUAAAUAUGUUUUUCUGCUAAAUAACUGAUCCAAUGAUAUAUAUGUAUUCAUUAGAAAAGUUCUAAAAGUAGCAAUGGAGAGAAGGGAAAAGAACUUCACUACCUCAGAAAGAAAUUUGGCAAAAGAUAAAAACAGUGAACACGACCUUAGUGCUACCCAAAAUAACAACUUAGCUAAAGAUACUAGAAAUGAUGACAUAAAGCCAGAAAACAUUUUUCAGGGAAGCAUUUUGCCUAAAGUAUUUUGGAGGUGGUUACUUAGUGAACAGAAACACAUCUGGGAAUGCAUCUGGAAGAAAAUAUAAUUAUCUAAUCCUUGCUGAAUCAUUCUUUUUUUUUCUUUUGCAUUUAUUUUCUUUUCUUCUGAUAAAUAUUCUACUUAUGUUUCCAAGCCACUAGGACUAAAACUAGAUGAAUAAGGCAGAAUAAAAUACUAAUUUAAUGUAACAUAGCUUUAUCAGAUUGUGUUCCAAUAAGCACACAUGAAUGACCAGGACUAAUGAUAGGAAAGAAAAAUUACUCAGGAUGUUAAUAAUUUAGCAUCCUUUUUGCAGAUAGACUGGAAAAGUAGGUCAUAGGAUGGGCUGGAUGAUAUAAGUUAGCUCAAUGACUCACUCACAGUCAUCAUCCUGCCAUAAAGCCAAGUAAUACUGGCUUUAUGCCCUUGUGCCCCUUCCAUUGAAUGAGUAUACAGCGGAGAGAUCACAGAAUGAAACUUCCUCUGCAAGUCUGCUACUUCCCCUCUAGUUUGUUCUCUCCUCGCCCUGCAAAAGAUUCCCCUUUACCCAUGAGUGCUCAUUGCUUAUUAGCUGUGGUAUUUCACUGGGCAAUCUCUGGGUAUAGUGAACUUACGGGAAUAAUAAUAAAUAUCACAGUGCUAAAAUGGUUAAUAUUCUAUAAGCAACAAGGGAAAUUAACCCUGAAGUGCACAGUACCUUAAGAAAUGAUAAUGGCAAAUUCUAAAAUGAACAAUAUCAUGGGAUUAAAAAUCAACAUGGAGACGCCACAGUAAGAUGCAACUUAACGUUAGAUCCAUGCAACUUGCAGGUAAAAACAAAACCGUUUAUUAAUUCAUUCAAAUUGUAUUUACCAAGUGAGAAAGAUAGAGAUGUUAACUAUUUAAGGUCUAGUUAACAUAAACUAAAAAGCUACUGGACUUCUAACAAAAUACUCUGUCUAAAGAGUUAGGUCUUUUAAUAUAUAAACUGUUUCAUUUCCUAAAUAUCUAUCCGUAGGAUAUUCUUACAUGUUUCUUUCACAUUUUAAUGUGUGAACUUGAGGACUUAAAGAUUCUUUUACUUAGCAUUAAAACAUAUGCUUAAGAACUGCGCAUGUUGUCAUUUUUUGAAUAUAUGUUAAUGCAUGGUUUAUGUUGGGGAGUGACUAUACAUUCACUGCUGCUCAAAUGAUAGAGGCCCAAUUAAAGUAAUUGUCUAAUGCCUCAAGGCCCUGGGAACCCUAAUUAUAUCAUCCCCAACAUAACGCAGUACAAAAAUCAUUGAAUUGGGAAGUAACUCUCUCAAAAACACAUGAAAAAAGAAAAAAGAAUCAUUCAUGUUUUAUACUUUAAAAAACAUCUCAGUAAUAAGUUUAAAAGAUAACAGAAACAUCAGUUAUGUGACAAUGAAUGAUAGUAAAAUAUAUAAGAUACAUAUUUUAAAAUACAAAGACAAAUUUUUUUUGAAAGACAGGAUCUUGCUCUGUCACGCAGGCUGGAGUGCAGCAGCAUGAUCAUAGCUCAUUGUAACUUCCAACUUCCAGGCUCCAGUGAUCCUCCUGCCUCAGCCUCCCUAGUAGUUGAGACUACAGGUGUACAUCAGCAUGCUCAGCUAGUUUUUUUAUUUUUAUUUUUUUGUAGAGAUACGGUCUCACAGGCUGGUCUGGAACUCCUGGGCUCAAGUGAUCCUCCUACCUCAGCCUCCCAAAGUAUUGGGAUUACAGGUGUCAGCCACUGCACCCAGCCAAACACAGAUUAUUUCUAAAACCAGAAUUGCACCGCUUGCUUUGUUCUAUAUAGUUUCUUCCCCUAUCCCUACAAAUCCCAUUUUAUACUUCAAAAAAUCAUCUUAUCCAUUUAGAUAAAAACAUCAAAUUACUCAGUUAAUGUUCAAUUGGAUUAAUAAAUCUGAAUAGAAUAAUUUAAGUCAUAUGAUUGCUCAUGGCCAGCUGUUUUAAAUUAGUAUAUUAAGUCAUUUAGACGCUCUUCUUUGCAAAGGUUGCAUGAUUUAAUAAAUUCCCAUAUGCCUCAACAUGUGCCAACACUGCUAGGUUAUCUUGUAUCCAGCUGCUGUUGUGAUGAUGGCUGCCAACUUUCAAACAACUGAAGAGAAUAAUGAACCAGCUUAGUUGGCUCAUAUGUAAACUUACAUUGCUACCAGCUAAAACAUGGGCCAUUUUCAACUGCAAAGAAAAUUAAUUAAAAAGAUUUCACUUCCACUUUCAUGGCUCUACCAAUACCACAAAAUUAGCAGUUUGAAAGCUUGCAGCUUCAGGUAAACUCCCACAGUUUGGAUUUCAAUCUUAAAUGCUAUAGGUUGUCUUAAAAAAUGGAUUUUUUAAGGAAACAGAUCAGGAAAUGCCUUGUCCAUAACUCAUAACACAAAUAUUUGAGAAGCCUCACACUGCUGGAGAAAAAAGAGAGACUUAUUUGUUAAAGGCACAUUACAAAAAAGGCUUCAAAGACUUCAGGGGAAAUGAGAGAUGUAAAUGAAAUGGGCCGCCAUUUAGAAAGGAUUUAAAAAGCAAACAGAAAAAGAAAGCACCAAACAUACCACUUUAAGUCAGGAUCAUUUUAUGAAUGAGCGUUAGGCACAAAUCAGGGCAACAUGAUAGUGUUAGGCCCCUCCAAGAGUGAAAAUACUGUGUUGAAUUUUAAUAAAGGCUGGACAAGACAAUUUUGUGCUGGAUCAGUUAUCCAGGCUAGUGGCUCUAAAGAAAGCCCUGAAACUUUGGUGUUUCCAAAAUGAGCACUAAUCUAUUUGGCAUAAAGCUAUACUAGUUUUUAUAGCGGAAGGUAGGUCAAACAUAAGAACUAUUUAAAAUAUUUCAUUUAUUUCUUUUUUCUUUCUUUUUUUAUUUUUGAGAUGGAGUCUCACUCUGUCACCCAGGCUGGAGUGCAGUGGCACGAUCUCAGCUUACUGCAACUUUUGCCUCCCGAGUUCAAGUGAUUCUCCUGCCUCAGCCUCCCCAGUAGCUGGGAUUACAGGCACGUGCCACCAUGCCUGGCUAAUUUUUGUGUAGGUAUGUGUGUAUAUAUGUGUGUGUGUGUGUGUGUAUAUAUAUAUAUAUAUAUAUAUAUAUAUUUAGUAGAGAUGGUUUCACCAUGUUGGCCAGGCUGGUCUUAAACUCCUGACCUCAGGUGAUCCACCCACCUCAGCCUCCCAAAGUGCUGGGAUUAGAGGUGUGAGCCACUGUGCCUAGUCUAAAAUAUUUCAUCUACUUCUAAAUGUCCAUAAUAGUUGGAAAUUACUCACCAGGUAGAUGGACUUCCCCAAGAGGACAGGAAAACUCUUUUUCGCUAAAUGGCAAAGCUGAUUAUACUGUCCUCAUGGGAGUAAGUCUAUAUUAUUCUUCACAACAGAUGGACUAGACAAAAUACACAAUUUUAUGGUUCUGAUGAACUGUCUAAAACUAUGCAAGGAUCACUUUUUUAUUUUUUGAGAUAGGUCUCACUCUGUCACCCAGGCUGGAGUGCAGUGGCGUAAUCUUGGCUCACUGCAACCUCCGCCUCCCAGGCUCAAUUGUUUCUCCCACCUCAGCCUCCCAAGUAGUUGGGAUCACAGGUGCGAGCCAACACGAUCAGCUAAUUUUUUGUAUUUUUGAUACAGACGGGGUUUCACCAUGUUGCCCAAACUGAUCUUGAACUCCUGAGCUCAGGAGAUCCAUCCACCUCAGCCUCCCAAUGUACUAGGAUUCCAGGUGUGAGCCACCGCACUGGGCCUAGGAUCACUUUAUUGGCAGUGAUAAUCUGAUUUUUUUUUUUUUUUUUAAAAUAGGUUACCUGAAGUUUUCUCAGUCAUCUGCUAUACAUAAGCAGGUAUAUCAUAUUGGCUGCCUACUACAGUUUUGCAAUAUAUCUUACUUAUAAUCUAAAUGUGAAAUUAUAUACCAGGGUUGCUUCUGCCCUUGCUGCAUAUACACAAUACAGCGUUAAUUUAAAAAUCUCUCAGAGAUGCUAACUGACUAGACUCAUACUCUACAAUCUAAUUGACGCAUGGCACUUGAAACUGAAACUAUAUAUGGGGGGGUAUGGGAUGGAGUGUGAUCUCCAGGCAUCUCCAAUAUCUUCUCCAGGUAUGUCUAAUAUUUUCAUUGCUAGAAAUACUAGAGAUCCCUGGGAAACAUAGUUGGUUCUAGGAUCCUCCAGUUGGUUGAAUACUUCUAGAAAAACUACAUAGAUGCCUCACAAUAACUCAGAAUCCAACGAAAGGACCCAGAUCCAAAGAAAUCCAAGAGACUAUUUCCUAAUACCUGACAUGAUCAUCUUUUUACCUCUAUAUAGCUCAUAGAGGCUGUUGGAACUGUCCAAGAUGGAACAGAUUUAACAGACCUCCAGAACAACGUAACUUGUGAAAUUGUUGCCCAUUUAAGUAGCCACAGUAAUUCCUCCAACAACUGAGUCAGCCCUCAACCAAAUAAAGAUAAAAGAGAGGUGCUGAUUCCUUAACCUCGUUUAAUCACACUAAUGCAACAAACUAUCUGGAAAGUGUUCUAGUCUAUUCUGCACCCGGGAUGCAUGUUUAUACUUGGGAAAAUAUUGUGUAACAAGUAUCAAGUUUUUAUUGGCUACUGCUGUAAUAGGCAAAGAAGGAAGAAAUUUCACAAGUGCAACUGACUUGAAAUUUUGAAAAUAUUCCAUUUACCAGUGCCAGAGUGCCCAAAAGAACUCUUUUAUAUGAGACAAAUUUGCCUGCAAUAAUAGAAGAAAGGCAAGAAAGGGCUAUAGGCCAACAGCAGAUACUUAAACAAAUAAAAAUCUAUAUUCUUUAGCCUAACACAGUUCUGUUCAAGAUUUGAAAGUAUUAAAAAGGGUAGAGAUCUAUUUUCCAUUUUCCACUUUGAAGGCUGUAGCACUUAACAAAUACAGCUUCUAUGCACUGAUUUGAAUAUUUGGACAAUUAGCUGUAUUUGUCUGAAUGUACACUAAGUAGCUUUAUUCUUGGUGGUUAGGAUAAUCAAGAAUGCCUAGAGGUUAAAAAAAAACUUAGAAAGAUAUGUAAUGGAAAGGUAUGGAAGAAUAGAAAAAGGAAAAAAAAGAAAAAGAUUUUUAAAAUGAUCAUAUGCAGUUAGGAUAAAUGACUAAUUAAAGGUGGAAAAAAUAAUUGCUUACAAUUUGUAUAAAGCAAUCGUAUCCAUGCAGUACUCUGACAUAGUACAAAGGUACAUAAUUAUAAACAAGACGAUGGAAAUAAAAAGUUGUAUCUUAAUUAAGAAAAACAACAAAGGAAAAGGCUAUGGAAAAAAUGUAUGAAAAGUAGGAAGACCCAGGCCACAAAUACGCCAAGACAAAUGACAUAUCCCCAGAGGGGAGAACAGUGAUGUAGACUUGAGAAGGCUCUGUGUGACCUGGGCCAACACUUCCAUUUCCUGCCUAGCAUAAUCACAGAAGGCAGUCAAUGUUUGGUGAUGAUGAGGAGCAGGGUUUUGAAGAACAUAAUUAAGGGCUGAAAGUAUUUUCUGUGGAAACAAAAUUAUCAUUCAUGUCUGACAUUGUGUAAAUAUGCCUUAAUUUUGGUCAAUAGCAAUUUGAACUUUAAAAAGUAGAAUCCUCAAACCUUCUUGUAAAUCACAAUUCUUUAAGCAAACUGCAGGGCUUCGUGUGUAAAAGCAUAGACAUUCCAGAUACUCUUUAAAAAAUGCUGUUUAGUAGAAAAUUAUCUAUUUUGUAGUGACACAAUUUGGCCUCUGUCCAUGUCAAAACCAGCUCAUAACUUCAAAAAGCCACAUUAAAGGAGAUUUACACAGAGCAAAGCUAAAGCAGUUUUCAUCCACCAGGUCAGGUAUAAAAAUAAUCACAAUUCACAUUACCUUAAAAAGACUGGCAAUCUUACACAAAUUAAUGGUGUGUCAUGUACAGAUGGAAGGUGGAUAUAAACUGAGGAGAAAGAAAAAACCACAUCAAAGGUGCCAAGGAGACUUAAAGGCUUUGAAAGCUUCGAAAGUCUCGCCUUCUCUCUUGUACCUUUAAUUGUAAGGCUGCAAUAAGUGCAUUUUUGCCACAAGCUUUUGAAAGAAAAAAGAAAUGGUUAUUUUCUUAAGUACUAACAGACUUACUUCUCUUUCAGAAAAUCCACUACUCUUUUGAAGUCAGCCACACAGUAUUCUCUUUUCAUUUCCAUGAGUACGCUGUCGGAGGCAGACUGGACUGUCACAUAUUUUUUGAGUAUCUAUUACGCAAAAGGCACAUGACCCGACAGUGAGGCCAGCCACUUCACCACUGGGCACCUACUAACUUUCAUACUUAAGAUGCAUAAAAAGAAGAGAAAGAAGAGAUGAAGAUUAAGAAGAACGUAUCUUGCCAAGCGAAAGAGAAUACAUUUAAGUGAAAAACAUUAAAAACUCAGAGAGUGUUUAAAAAUUCCUCCAAGGAUACAAAGGGGGCGAAUAAGAAAGAGUGACAGAGGUGAAGUUCUGUAAUGUCACCAUUCAUGUAAGCAUUAGGUAAGAUGACUAAUGUGGCCCUUCUCCACUGCUGCAUGCUGUCAGGUCAUCGAUUUGAAAGAGAGGGAGGAAAGGAAGGAGAGAAAGAGAAAAAGAAAAAAGAAAAGAAACAAAGAAAAAAAGAAAAAGAAAAGUGAAAAGAAAGAGACAGCAGGCACAUACGGCCUUUCAGAGUCCAGUAGUGAAUAAAAAUGUCAUAAAGGGAGUGGCUCAUUAAUAAGUUGCAUGUGUCCAGUGAUUCUUAGUUUUCAAAGUAUUGCACUUUCACAUCUGUUACCUCAUUUCAUCCUUCAAAAAAUAUUUUGAAGGAUCUUAUGGAAUCAAAGAGCCAGCUAAUUCCGUCCAGUUACCUCUCAGCUCUUCAAGAGUUAGUCAUGCAUACGGAUCAACCAUGCCCUGUGUUUCUCCAUUUUCUUUUCAUUGACUGUGAACAUUAGCAUUUUAGCCAAAGGGGAAGCCCAGAGAUGAACUCAAAUCAGUCACCUUCUUAGCAGCGGUUGUUUAAAAUAAUCCUUUCACUAAGAUUAUCAAAUACAAUUACUCAUAGAUAUCCUUUAUCCACACUUUCUCUACCAGGAAUUAAUAGGUAUAUACCUUAUUAACCUUGUUACAUAUAGACUACUAAAUUGGAAUUGGAGUUGAAGAAUUUCUUAUUUAGUAGAAAAGCAGCUGGAUACACUUUCAUGAAACUGUUACAUUUCUGGGCUGGGUAUUCAGUAGGCUCUUUUUUUUUUUUUCUUUUUUCUUUUUUUGAGAUGGAAUUUUGCUCUGUCACCCAGGCUGGAGUGCACUGGCGCGAUCUCAGCUCACUGCCACCUCCACCUCCCGGGUUCAAGUGAUUCUCCUGCCUAAGCGUCCAAGUAGCUGGGAUUACAGGCAUGUGCCACCACGCCCAGCUAAUUUUUGUGGUUUUAGUAGAGAUGGGGUUUCACCAUGUUGGUCAGGCUGGUCUUGAACUCCCGACCUCAGGUGAUCCGCCUGCCUCAGCCUCUCAAAGUGCUGGGAUUACAGGCGUGAGCCACCGCGCCUGGCCUCAGCAGCCUCUUUGUAGCCAUACUGCACACUUGGAGCUGGGCGAGGCAGAGCCACACUCACAUUACGCAUCCUACAGUAAAUAUGCUGGCCUUAUGCUAGAAUACUCUGCCUUUCAGGUUCUUCACACUUGAACAUCAAAAUCCCCCCCAAAUUUAAGAAACAUAACUGUACAAAGAUCUUUGUUUUCUAAAGUGGCAGCACUCACAGCUUUAGACAUAUCUAUUGCGGUGAGAAAUGACAUCUUGACAUGUAAUACACUUUGCGAGAUGAAACUUCACACUCAGGCUGUGUACCUUCUUCUCAUCUAUAAAAUGGAGAGAAGGAUAAUAUUCACCUCAUAGGGCUACUGGGCUAUUGUGAAAAUAAAUUAAGAUAAUCCAGUAUAUGCUAAUAGAGUAAGCACUCCAUAUGUAAAUCAUCUAAUUUUUUAUUUUUUUUCUUUUGGUAAGUAUUUUAAGUUCCCUGUAUCACAAUUUUAUAUGGAUUACAGGGAACCUAUCAAUAAAUAAAACAGCUUUCUGAUAAGCUAGUUCCCGAACUAGCAAGUGAAGGAGAAAUAACUGGUACUGAUUUGCAUGACAUAAAUUUGAAAGGGGUUUACCAGCAAACAUGACCCCGGGCCAGAGAGGGUGGUGCAGUUUCUCUUGGAAACACUCAGGGUGGCCUCUUACUAUAAACAGGAUACUGAGCUAGAUGAAACUUUGCCCUGCUACAGUAUGCCAAUUUACAAAUUAAAAUGUUAAUAGCAAACAAGUAGGAUAAAUGUAGUGGUUUCCCCCUCCCCCCGCCACCCCCGUGGUUCUCAAAAUAAACCUUCCCACUAGUAAUUAUCUUUAGCUUCAUACUACAGGCCUUGCAACUUUAUACUGCUAGAACACAAAAUAAAAAUACACUUGCCCCUUAAUUAAAGUCCAUGUUUCUACCACUGAGAGAAUCAUGACUUAACACAGAUUAAUGUCCCCAAGGAGACAAAGUAUGUAUUUUUUGUUUUGCUUUCUCUUCCAUUCCUCUCCUUGCUCAGCACUCUUAGUUUAGGACAACUUGUGUUCUCUUCAUCUUUCAGAAUCUUCUUCCUUUAUGACUUCUCAGCAACUUGUUCCUGGUGUUACCAAAGUGUUUACUUAGCUCUUCCUGGCAAUACAAUAAUGAAUCUCCAGAACUGAAUGCUACAAGGCUGCUACAAGGCCAGAAAUUAUAUUUUACUCUUCCCUCUGCAUUUCUACAAUAGCUUAUACUGUGCUAAGCACACCACUAAACAUUUAAAUACAGAUAUGGGUUACAACUACAUCAACAUACACGAAAAGAGGUGUAAAUUGUAAUUUCAAUAGGAAGACAAACUUUCAUUCAGUAAUAUUUCAGUUUGGCUCGACCAGGUAAACAAACAUAUAUUCAAGUAGGUAAACAGGCAUUUAAUCAGCCUGCCUUAAUUUCUGGAACAAAUGAAUAAUUAUAUGUAAAUCUAUAGGUAUAUACAUAAGUACAGGCAUACAUCAUUUUAUUGUGCUUCCCAAAUAUUGUGUUUCUUACAAAUUGAAGGUUUGUGGCAACCCUGUGUCAAGCAUGUGCACUGGCAAAUUUUUUCAACAGCAUGUGCUCACUUCGUAUCUCUGUGUCACAUUUUGGUAAUUCUUGCAAUAUUUUAGACUUUUUAAAUUAUUACUGUAUCUGAUGUGAUGAUCUGUCAUCAGUGAUCUUUGAUGUUACUCUUGUAAUUAUUUUGGGGUGCCACAAACCGCGCCCAUAUAAGAUGGCAAAUUUAAUAAAUGUUGUGUGUGUUCUGACUGCUCUUCCAACUGGCUCUUCCCAUCUUGGGCCUCCCUAUCCUCUGAGAUACAACAAUAUUGAAAUUAGGCCAAUUAAUAACCUGACGAAGGCCUUUAAAUAUUCAAGUGGAUGGAAAAGUCCCACGUUUCUCACUGUAAAUCAAAAGCUAGAAGGCAUUAACCUUAGUGGGGAAGGUAUGUCAAAAGCUGAGACACGUUAAAAGCUAGGCCUCUUGCACCAGUCAGCCAAAUUAUGAAUGCAAAGGAAAAGUUCUUGAAGGAAAUCAAAAGUGCCACUCCAGUGAACUCAUGAAUGAUAAGAAAGUCAAACAGCCUUAUUGCUGAUAUGGAGAAAGUUUCAGUCGUCUGGAUAGAUGAUCAAACCAGCCACAACAUUCCCUUAAGCACAAACCUAAUCCAGAGCAAGGCCCUAACUCUCUUCAAUUCUAUAAAGGCUGAUUGAAGUGAGGAGACUGCAGAAGACGUUUGAAGCUAGAAGAGGUUGGUUCAUGAGGUUUAAGGAACGCUGUUUCCAUAACAUGAAAGUGCAAACUGAAUAAGCAAGUGCUGAAGUAGAAGCUGUAGCAAAUUAUCCAGAAGACUUAGCUAAGAUCACUGAUGAAGAUGGCUAUGGCACACCGCAGAUUUUCAAUGUAGACAAAACAGCCUUCUAUUAAAAAGUGGUGGCAUCUAGGACUUUCAUAGGUAGAGAAGAGAAGUAAAUACAAAAGGCUUUGAAGCAAUGCUUCAAAGCUUCAGAGGACAUAAAGACUGACUCUCUUGUUAGGGGAUAAUGCAACUGGUGACUGUAAGUUGAAACCAAUUCUCAUUUACCAUUCUGAAAAUUCUAGGGCCCUCAAGAAUUAUGAUAAAUUGACUCUGUCUGUACUCUAUAAAUGGAACACCAAAGCCUGGUGAGAGCACAUGUGUUGACAGCAUGGUUUACUGGAUAUUUUAAACCCACUAUCGAGACCUACUGCUCAGGAAAAAAAGAUUCCUUUCAAAAUAUUACUGCUCAUGGACAAUGCACCUGGUCAUCUAAGAGAUCUGAUGGGGAUGUACAAAGAGAUUAAUGUUUUCGUGCCUGCUAACACAACAUCCAUUCUGCAGUACAUGGACCAAGGAGUAAUUUCAACUUUCAAGUUCAUUAUAUAAGAAAUACAUUUUUGUAAGGCUAUAACUGCCAUAGUGAUUCCUCUGGUGGAUCUAGGUAAAGUAAAUUAAAAGCCUUCUGGAAAGGACUCGUCAUUCCAGAUGCUGUUAAGAACAUUCAUGAUUCAUGGGAGGAGAACAAAAUAUCAAUAUAAACAGGAGUUUGGAAGACAUUGAUUUCAACCCUCAUGGAUAACUUUGAGGGGUUCAAGACUUCAAUGGAGAAAGUAAGUGCAGAUGUGGUGGAAACAGGAAAACAACUAGAAUUACAAGUGGAGCCUGAAGAUAUGACGGAAUUGCUGCAAUCUCAUCAUCAAACUUGAACAGAUGAUGAGUUGUUUCUUAUGGAUGAGCAAAGAAAGUGGUUUCGAGAUGGAAUGUAUUCCUGUUGAAGACACUGUGAAGACUGUUGAAAUGACAACAAAGUAUUUAUGAUAAUAUACAAAUGUAGUUGAUAAAGCAGAGUUUGACAGGGUUGACUCCAAUUUUGAGAGAAGCUGCACUGCCACAGCUCCUUUCUUAACCUUUAGCAAUCACCACUCUGAUAAGUCCAUAGCCAUCAACAUCGUGGCAAGACCCAUCACAAGCAAAAAGAUAAUAACUCGCUGAAGGCUCAUUUUUUAGCAAUAAAGUAUUUUAAAAUUAAGGUAUGUACAUUUUUUACACAUAACGCUAUUGUAUACUUACUAGACUAUAAUAUAGUAUAAACAUAACUUUUACAUACACUAGGAAACUAAAAAAUUCACGUAACUUGCUUUAUGGUGAUAUUUGCUAUUUUGCAGAGGUCUGGAACCAAACCUGCAGUAUCUCUGAGGUAUGCCUGUAACAAUGAAGACACUUUAAAUAAAGGUAGCCCCAUCAUGGAUUAUAUUUCUAAAGCCUGGGAUGCUAACAUGACGGCAGGACAAAGAAGAGCCAUCUUAGACCUAGAGAGGGAAGGCACACACUGAAGACAGCAAAUCCUCUAGAGAAUCUUGGACCACCCAUCUGUGGACUGUGAAAGAGAGAAGUAAACUUCUAUAAGCCACCAUAUUUUGGGGCCUCUUUGUUUUAUCCUCUUCACGUUUUCCC
rnacentral:lncRNA from 1 species